UACGGGGGGGGCAAGCGUUGUCCGGAAUUACUGGGCGUAAAGGGCUCGUGGGCGGCCAACUAAGUCAUACGUGAAAUCCCUCGGCUUAACCGGGGAACUGCGUCUGAUACUGGAUGGCUUGAGUUCGGGAGAGGGAUGCGGAAUUCCUAGUGUAGCGGUGAAAUGCGCAGAUAUUAGGAGGAACACCGGUGGCGAAGGCGCCACUCUGGGCCGAAACUGACGCUGAGGAGCGAAAGCAUGGGUAGCAAACAGG
rnacentral:rRNA from 1 species